AUAAAACCAGCGCGACUUCCUGUCGGAAUUUUCGCCGUAUAAGUCCAUGGUGUUCAUGUCUAUGCAAGACUCACAAAUCGUACAUUACAGCAAAUGACUUGAAUAUUGGACUUGGAUUGCUACAGUAUUAGUGAAAGGUCAUUUAAACCCAAAUCAAACGCAAAGUCGUCCGAGAUAGCGAAUCAAACGUCUUAUUUUGAAGGCAGUAUUUGUGACUUCCAGUCUGACUCGCUGCUGAACUUGACACAGCACAGGACGGAUGUAAAGCUACCUUCAAUUCCCUCUGUCAGGUGCAUCAUUGCCAUUUAUACUUUUAUAGAUAAUCCAUUGAUCUGUUUUGGGAUUGCAGAAGAAACUGGGGCAGAUUUUGUGAAUUGCUGAGGAUUUAAAUUAAAGCGAGUGCUUCAGACCCCAGCAUAAUAAAUGUUUCCUUUCCUUGUAAUGCCUGCUUACUGGAUGGAUGACCUAAGUGACUUCCUGAGACAGAGACAUGUUCCUGAGGAAACAAUAGCGACCUUGGAGAAUGAGAAGGUUCUGCACAGGAUCAGAUCUAUUCCUGGGGAAGAACAUCAUCAUUGACUUUACCCAAAUUCAAAGUUUCCAGAGAAGACCUGUGGCCCAUACGUGUGGCUGUGUGCUAGAGCUGUCAGUCCAUUAUGACAGCUACCCUGACUUCAGCUCCGAGAUGAACAAGGUGUUGGAGUCCAAUGUGUGGGUAAUGGACAUAAUUUAAUGUACUUCAUGUUGUGCGUGUUAAUGCUAUCUUAUUUCUUUGUACAGUGUCAUCGACAAAGGGUCCUCAUCUUAAAACAAGAUUGAUAAGACAGCAUAAGAUUUCAAUAGUUCAACACAACAAUAACAAAAUAUUCCUCAUUAAUUCAUUUGUUAAGGAAAACACUUUAGUAUAACAGACCUAAUUGCAUCAAGGAAGGUAAAGAUGUACAUUUUAAUAACUUUUGUUAGCACUAUGGCUUUUUUAGUUUGUUUUGAGCUAAGGAACUGUUAUGCCACGUCACAAAAACUGACUGCAUAUAAUUUGUUUUUUUUAUGAGAAAUUGCCAGGUUUUUGUUUUUGUUCCUGAUACCAUUAAAAGUGUUGCCAUGUA